UGGCAAUGCUCUACAAUGUUCCUGUUCAGU
rnacentral:piRNA from 1 species